GGUGGCAUGGCUUUUGGCUGCUAACCAAAAGGUCGGUGGUUGAAAUCCACCAGCCACUU
rnacentral:tRNA from 1 species